GACCUCAGAUCAGGCAAGACUACCCGCCGAAUUUAAGCAUAUUAAUA
rnacentral:rRNA from 1 species